AUUGAACGCUGGCGGCAGGCCUAACACAUGCAAGUCGAGCGAGCGGCGGACGGGUGAGUAAUGUAUGGGGACUGCCCGAUAGAGGGGGAUAACUACUGGAAACGGUGGCUAAUACCGCAUACUAUCGGAUAACCCAUAUGGGAUUAGCUAGUAGGUGGGGUAAAGGCUCACCUAGGCGACGAUCUCUAGCUGGUCUGAGAGGAUGAUCAGCCACACUGGGACUGAGACACGGCCCAGACUCCUACGGAGGCAGCAGGGGGGAAUAUUGCACAAGGGGCGCAAGCCUGAUGCAGCCAUGCCGCGUGUAUGAAGAAGGCCCUAGGGUUGUAAAGUACUUUCAGCGGGGAGGCGUUACCCACAGAAGAAGCACCGGCUAACUCCGUGCCAGCAGCCGCGGUAAUAC
rnacentral:rRNA from 1 species